rnacentral:lncRNA from 1 species
CACCAUCUAAUAAAAUAGGUGCUGCCAAUGUGUCUGGAGUGAACAAAACUGGUACCAGUGUAUUCAUCCCUUUGCGAGCCUCGGAGACAAUAUUCAAUUCUUGGGAUAACACAUAUGGAUCAUUCCUCCAUUUUUAUUAAUCCAAUUGUCCUCAACAGCAUCUUUCAACCCUCUUCUAAAAAGUAUGUAUGCUUCUCCACCACGUCGUCCAUUGAACAUUGUCAAGCAACAUACUGUUAAGAGGUCUAACACAAAAACUUUGCAAUUAGAAUUUAUUAACAGAUAUAACUCUACUUAAUUAAAAAAAAAGAAAUGAGACAUAUAAUUUAAGACAACAUAUUUUACCAUUAUCUAUGUUAUUUAAGUGUUUGCCAACUUUCACAAUCUCAAUAACAG